AGAGUUUGAUCCUGGCUCAGGACGAACGCUGGCGGCGUGCUUAACACAUGCAAGUCGAACGGAAAGGCCCUUCGGGGUACUCGAGUGGCGAACGGGUGAGUAACACGUGGGUGAUCUGCCCUGCACUUUGGGAUAAGCCUGGGAAACUGGGUCUAAUACCGAAUAUGACCAUGCACUUCCUGGUGUGUGGUGGAAAGCUUUUGCGGUGUGGGAUGGGCCCGCGGCCUAUCAGCUUGUUGGUGGGGUAAUGGCCUACCAAGGCGACGACGGGUAGCCGGCCUGAGAGGGUGACCGGCCACACUGGGACUGAGAUACGGCCCAGACUCCUACGGGAGGCAGCAGUGGGGAAUAUUGCACAAUGGGCGCAAGCCUGAUGCAGCGACGCCGCGUGAGGGAUGACGGCCUUCGGGUUGUAAACCUCUUUCAGCACAGACGAAGCGCAAGUGACGGUAUAUGCAGAAGAAGGACCGGCCAACUACGUGCCAGCAGCCGCGGUAAUACGUAGGGUCCGAGCGUUGUCCGGAAUUACUGGGCGUAAAGAGCUCGUAGGUGGUUUGUCGCGUUGUUCGUGAAAACUCACAGCUUAACUGUGGGCGUGCGGGCGAUACGGGCAGACUUGAGUACUGCAGGGGAGACUGGAAUUCCUGGUGUAGCGGUGGAAUGCGCAGAUAUCGGGAGGAACACCGGUGGCGAAGGCGGGUCUCUGGGCAGUAACUGACGCUGAGGAGCGAAAGCGUGGGGAGCGAACAGGAUUAGAUACCCUGGUAGUCC
rnacentral:rRNA from 1 species